rnacentral:rRNA from 1 species
AGCGAACGCUGGCGGCAGGCUUAACACAUGCAAGUCGAGCGGGCGUAGCAAUACGUCAGCGGCAGACGGGUGAGUAACGCGUGGGAACAUACCUUUUGGUUCGGAACAACACAGGGAAACUUGUGCUAAUACCGGAUAAGCCCUUACGGGGAAAGAUUUAUCGCCGAAAGAUUGGCCCGCGUCUGAUUAGCUAGUUGGUGAGGUAACGGCUCACCAAGGCGACGAUCAGUAGCUGGUCNGAGAGGAUGAUCAGCCACAUUGGGACUGAGACACGGCCCAAACUCCUACGGGAGGCAGCAGUGGGGAAUAUUGGACAAUGGGCGCAAGCCUGAUCCAGCCAUGCCGCGUGGAUGAUGAAGGCCCUAGGGUUGUAAAGUCC